GGUCCAAGAAUUUCACCUCUAGCGGCGCAAUACGAAUGCCCCCGGCCGUCCCUCUUAAUCAUGGCCUCAGUUCCGAAAACCAACAAAAUAGAACCGCGGUCCUAUUCCAUUAUUCCUAGCUGCGGUAUCCAGGCGGCUCGGGCCUGCUUUGAACACUCUAAUUUUUUCAAAGUAAACGCUUCGGGCCCCGCGGGACACUCAGCUAAGAGCAUCGAGGGGGCGCCGAGAGGCAAGGGGCGGGGACGGGCUUUUUAACUGCAGCAACUUUAAUAUACGCUAUUGGAGCUGGAAUUACCGCGGCUGCUGGCACCAGACUUGCCCUCCAAUGGAUCCUCGUUAAAGGAUUUAAAGUGGACUCAUUCCAAUUACAGGGCCUCGAAAGAGUCCUGUAUUGUUAUUUUUCGUCACUACCUCCCCGGGUCGGGAGUGGGUAAUUUGCGCGCCUGCUGCCUUCCUUGGAUGUGGUAGCCGUUUCUCAGGCUCCCUCUCCGGAAUCGAACCCUGAUUCCCCGUCACCCGUGGUCACCAUGGUAGGCACGGCGACUACCAUCGAAAGUUGAUAGGGCAGACGUUCGAAUGGGUCGUCGCCGCCACGGAGGGCGUGCGAUCGGCCCGAGGUUAUCUAGAGUCACCAAAGCCGCCGGCGCCCACCCCCCCGGCCGGGGCCGGGGGGAGGCUGACCGGGUUGGUUUUGAUCUGAUAAAUGCACGCAUCCCCCCCGCGAAGGGGGUCAGCGCCCGUCGGCAUGUAUUAGCUCUAGAAUUACCACAGUUAUCCAAGUAGGAGAGGAGCGAGCGACCAAAGGAACCAUAACUGAUUUAAUGAGCCAUUCGCAGUUUCACUGUACCGGCCGUGCGUACUUAGACAUGCAUGGCUUAAUCUUUGAGACAAGCAUAUGCUACUGGCAGGAUCAACCAGGUAGGAGCGCGCGGUCAAGAGGGUGGGACCGGCAGGGACCGCCGCUCGCUCGCUCGCUCGCACAGGCGAGAGAGAAGCCGGGAACCGGCGCGGGGCGCGCACCACGGCGGCGCGGCCGCAAGCCUCCGCGGGGAAGCAAGCCGGACGACAGAGCCGGCGGGAUCAGGGGCGUCCUCGGACGCGAGCGGGUCAAGCCCCGGCGGCUCACCCGCACACACCCCAGGGACGGGGCGCGGCAGAGGCGGCAGAGGGGGGAGAGGAGAUCGGGAGGAGGGGGACCCGGAGGCUCCCGCCCCACAGACACACACACCCCCAGCAGACGGAGCGGACCCCGAGCGACGGCGGGCACGGAGUCGGGCGCGGGGGUUCGGGGUGGGGACGCGGUGGCAACCAGGGCACACCAAACGCCACCCAAGGAGGGCGACUCACAGUGUCCCUCCUACACCCCGCCCAGGCCGACCGGCGCCCGCACACACGCGACGCCGGCCGCCACACCAAGUCCACGACGCGACGGCCCGGAGGAACCAGCCACGACACACCCGCGGGACUCGGGGCACACGCGCGAGCACCACCACCGCCGCGGAGCCACCAACGCCACCAGGGGGGGAGCUGGGGGGUGACGACGCCUCCCCCUCCUCCUCCUCCUCCUUCCCCCACGCACGCCAACAAGCCAACGCGCGACGCCACAGCCGCCCGGGGGCGGUUCCACACGCGGAAGGGGAGCCGGAACCCCCAACCACCAAGACACGGUGGGCCGGCCCAAGGGGAGGCGAAACACAGCAGGGUCACGGCGACCCGGGUCGGGAAGCGGAUGAGAAAGAGGGCAAAGGAGACGGGGGCCAGGGCCGCCCGGCAGGCGGAGGAAGGCGCGGGCAAAGGGCGACGGGGAAAAGGACCAGAGCCACCCACGCGACGACGGUGCGGGCGGAAGGGCCUCACCACGCAGCCGGCCGGCCGGCCAGUCGCGCCAGAGCACACAACCCCCACCACCACACGCGGGAUCUCACCGCCAGCACCCUCCGAGGGCAAGGGCGGUCCCGCGGGGAUGGGAAGGCAGCACCUGACGCAGCCAACCGGGGGCCGUCGUGCCUCAGCCACAGCCACCCAAACACGCAUCUUCACGCGGGGAAGACCACCGGCCCCGCCCCCGCCACCAGUCACGGACAGACCCCAACCCCACAAGGCCACGGAGGGCGAGGCACCGGAGGCACGAGGGAGAGGACGCAGGGAGCGCCUUGGGCCACAAAAGCCGGACCCGCCGGGGAAACGGACACGGGAUCCCACCGCCACACACCAGGGCGGUCCCGCGACGCCUGGGACACCGGAGCCCACCUCUGGCGACCCUCCACGUCUUCUCCCACGCACACCCAAGAGCCCCGCCGCCAGGGCGCCUCCACGCGACAGCGCCAACAACCGCACACACCGGACGGCCCUCGCGCCAUCUCCCGCCCAUCCAACCAUCCGGAUCUCCAUGCCCGGAGAAGCACCGCGACCCCGAGGGAACGCUCCCCAGGGGCGACCACGCGAGCCGAGGGGGAAGAGAGGGCUGGGCCCAGCCCAACACACGUGCCGACCGCCGCCCGACGACGGCCAGUCGCAGCCCGGGGUGGCGAGCAGGGGAAGCUGAGAGCUGCCCGCUCGCGCCACAGCCCCAGGGACGCGCAGGACGGACCACGCGCGCCGGUCCCCAACACGAAGAAAGAGCGACGGACCGCCAGCCCGGCCCGGCGGGACCCUCCCCCGACACGGAGGGGGGAGGCGCGGGCCGCGGCCAUUAGGGCCGAAAGAGCAGCGCCCCGGUCCCCACCGCGGGGACCGGCAGACCCACCAGCACGCCUACGCUUCCCCCCCAACAGAAGGGGCAAACGGGGCGCACGGGUGGGGUACGCCACCCAACGCACUCAGCACAGGAGGGACGGCGGCCGGGGGAUAACGGUACCCCGUCAGAAGGCACGCCCCUCUCUCGGAUCGCUAGAGAAGGCGUUCCUCACCGAAGGUGGGCCACACCCCACCCCAACUGCCCCCCUCCGCCGGGCCGGCAGGAGGCAAGCCGAGGGAGCACCACCCGAGAGACCGAUCAAUCGGGCGAGGGGGUCUGCGGUAUAGGGAAGAAACGGCACCUCGAGCAUCCGCGGCCAGGGCAAGGGCAGGCUGGGCGCAUUACCAAUCCCAUUCGCCACAGCCCUCCCGGCCCCCGCACUCGUCCGGCCAGACCGGACCACACCGCGACUGCUCGACACACCUGGCACACACCACCCCACGGGGGCAGGGUGGCAAGCGCGCAGGCAUGCGCCCACCAAGCCGAUACCCCACACACACGUGGGGACGACGGCACGACACCGGCAGCCUCCCUCCAAGCGAGGCGAAGCACACACGUGUCUCCUUCUCUUACCGCCUCGACCCCCCCAAGACUCCCAAGGGGCACAGGCAGCAGCCAGAGGCAGCCGCAGCAGCGACACCCGGGAGAGGGCGCUGGGGGGACAGGAGCAACACCACCACUCGGCUUCAGGCACCUGAGGCACAACCUGGACCACUCCAGGGGCACCGCACAGGCUCGCGCGGAGGCAAGGCUCCGCAGCCACAGAGCCCACGACAGGGCGACGGCGAGGGAUGCCCGCCACGUCAGAGGACCCCGACCCCCCCCCGCGCGCAAAAGCACGGGGACAGCAGAGGCCGGGCCGGUUUCCGCACCCCUGCCACCCACACACCACCCGCAGGUGGGGAAGGCAGAACGAGGGGCCCGCAGGCCAGAACGAGAGGCUCAGCAGCAUUCACCAUGAACGGCUGUCCCUCAUCUGGAGCGGCUUAGGUCCGGCCCAGGAGAGCGCCACAGCACCACAUCGGUCACAGUCAGGUCUAGGCUUUAACACGUGGAGCGAGGGCGGGGGGACACGACCCGGCGAGGACAGCCACCAGAGGGGCCCGCUGCAGCCUCACCAGCCCCCGCCUCUCACUGCAGGCGGUAGACAACCCCAGCGGAGAACGCCUGACACGCACACGUGGCAUGAAGCCACCCCUCAUCGAGGGCCUUUCAAGUCAGAGGGUUGUCACAACCACCACGCGAUCGGCUCACCAGCGGCAGAGAGCGCACGCGGGUAGAGGACCC
rnacentral:lncRNA from 1 species